UUCGCAAGGAAAGACCGUGUUGCAUCCAGCAUGUUUCAGGCCAUCGAAAAACGUGACCCCGAGGAAGAAAGCAAAAAGGCCAUGCAAGUCAACAUCGGAAAUUUAGCAACGUUUGUUAUCGCAUGCAGCGUCAUUAGGGCACUUCCCUGGAUACUUCAACAGGUUGAUCUUGCCUAGAAUGUGUUGAAAAUUGCAGUCCCAUUGUUUGAGAUGGUAAUUAAAUGUGUCUGGGAUGCAGCCAAACUGACCACAUGAACAGAGACUAGGCCAGACCGACAACUUGUGCACCACCACCAAGCUGAAAGAUGUACCCAGAAACGGUCAAGACUGAUCUUUUUAGAUCUUUCAACACCAUUUCCACUAAGAAUAAGAACUCGCAGCUUGCAACAUAAAUCAUAUAAUCAAAUUGAGUGUUGAUUUUCAAAUAAAAUUUUUUAGCAUGUUAUGAAAAAA